AGAGUUUGAUCCUGGCUCAGGAUGAACGCUGGCGGCAGGCUUAAUACAUGCAAGUUGAACGGUAACAUGUUGUAGCAAUACGAUGAUGACGAGUGGCGCACGGGUGCGUAACACGUGUGUAACCUACCUUAUACAGGAACAUAACGUUGAGAAAUCGGCGCUAACAUUCCAUAAUAUUAUUUGUAGGCAUCUAUGAAUAAUUAAAACUCCGGUGGUAUAAGAUGGGCACGCGUUCCAUUAGCUAGUUGGUAAGGUAACGGCUUACCAAGGCAACGAUGGAUAGGGGUUCUGAGAGGAUAAUCCCCCACACUGGAACUGAGACACGGUCCAGACUCCUACGGGAGGCAGCAGUAAGGAAUAUUGGGCAAUGGAGGCAACUCUGACCCAGCCAUGCCGCGUGCAGGAAGACGGCCCUAUGGGUUGUAAACUGCUUUUAAUAGGGAUUAAAGUCAACUACGUGUAGUUGUUUGCAAGUACCUAUAGAAUAAGCAUCGGCUAACUCCGUGCCAGCAGCCGCGGUAAUACGGAGGAUGCAAGCGUUAUCCGGAUUUAUUGGGUUUAAAGGGUGCGCAGGCGGACUAAUAAGUCAGUGGUGAAAUUUACAUGCUUAACAUGUGACGUGCCAUUGAUACUGUUAGACUAGUAUACAAAUGACGUAGCUGGAAUGUGUUAUGUAGCGGUGAAAUGCAUAGAUAUAACACAGAACACCGAUCGUGAAGACAGGUUACGAAUUUGUGAUAGACGCUCAUGCACGAAAGCGUGGGGAUCAAACAGGAUUAGAUACCCUGGUAGUCCACGCUGUAAACG
rnacentral:rRNA from 1 species